rnacentral:rRNA from 1 species
UACGUAGGGUGCGAGCGUUAAUCGGAAUUACUGGGCGUAAAGCGUGCGCAGGCGGUUCGUGAUGUCUGGUGUGAAAGCCCCGGGCUUAACCUGGGAAUUGCAUUGGAAACUAGCGGGCUGGAGUGUGGCAGAGGGGGGUGGAAUUCCGCGUGUAGCAGUGAAAUGCGUAGAUAUGCGGAGGAACACCGAUGGCGAAGGCAAUCCCCUGGGCCUGCACUGACGCUCAUGCACGAAAGCGUGGGGAGCAAACAGG